rnacentral:tRNA from 1 species
GGGAAUCUGGCUCAGUGGUAGAGUGCUUGCCUAGCAUGCAUGAAGCCCUGGAUUUGAUUCCCC